rnacentral:rRNA from 1 species
GACGAACGCUGGCGGCGUGCUUAACACAUGCAAGUCGAACGGAAAGGCCCUGCUUUUGUGGGGCGCUCGAGUGGCGAACGGGUGAGUAACACGUGAGUAACCUGCCCUUGACUUUGGGAUAACUUCAGGAAACUGGGGCUAAUACCGGAUAGGAGCUCCUGCUGCAUGGUGGGGGUUGGAAGGUUUCGGCGGUUGGGGAUGGACUCGCGGCUUAUCAGCUUGUUGGUGGGGUAGUGGCUUACCAAGGCUUUGACGGGUAGCCGGCCUGAGAGGGUGACCGGCCACAUUGGGACUGAGAUACGGCCCAGACUCCUACGGGAGGCAGCAGUGGGGAAUAUUGCACAAUGGGCGGAAGCCUGAUGCAGCAACGCCGCGUGCGGGAUGACGGCCUUCGGGUUGUAAACCGCUUUCGCCUGUGACGAAGCGUGAGUGACGGUAAUGGGUAAAGAAGCACCGGCUAACUACGUG